AGGGACAGAGCGAUCCAUGAGAGGCUCGCAUCCAUCUGGUGAGGCACAGACAGCAGCUGACAUUGGGGCAGCUUUGUGUCUUGGAUGGACAGGAGGUCUCCUGCCACAGGAAGAGAGGUGACAAAAUGAGAAGAGUGAAAAUGAGCAAAUUAAAGACCGUAACUAGGAUGUUUACAGCAGCAACAUGGUGAACAAACAGAUA